rnacentral:rRNA from 1 species
UACAGAGGGUGCGAGCGAUGUUCGGAAUUACUGGGCGUAAAGCGCGUGUAGGCGGUUCGGUAAGUCGGUUGUGAAAGCCCCGAGCUCAACUCGGGAAUUGCGUCCGAAACUGCCGGACUGGAGUCCCGGAGAGGAAGGCAGAAUUCCCAAUGUAGGGGUGAAAUCCGUAGAUAUUGGGAGGAAUACCGGCUGCGAAGGCGGCCUUCUGGACGGUGACUGACGCUGAGACGCGAAAGCGUGGGGAGCAAACAGG